AUAUUCGUCAAUGAAUCCAGUGACAAUAUUUAUGUGGUAUAUGUCUCAUCAGAAGCUGUAGACAGUUCAGAGAUCCCGUCAAAGAGAACGGGUAUGGAUCCCUCGGUGCAAGCUGGAGAGGUUCUGGAAGAAAACCUAGUAGACUAUGAAUUUGACUACAAUAUGGAUACAGAGCCCAUACUUGAUCCAGUUCCAGAGGUUCCGGUCAGUUCGGAAUUUGCAGAGAUUGAGCCCCCCGGACCCUCCCAACUUACUCCAUCACUAGAAGUUGAGGCACCUACCGUUGCACCUAGCCAGUGGGUUGAAGGAGAAUACUUUCGAGCGCUUUCAAAGGCAGUCAUAUUGAAUAUCAUAUCCAGGUAGCUUAAAAUCACUGAAAGAAGGAGUAUCCUGAAUGGGUAAAUUGUUUUAAAAUGUAGUAUUCGUGCUGAAACUUACGAAUAUAACAAAAGAAAAUCGGGAAAAAUCCGUUAGCAUUGAGCAAUUCGCCACGGAAAUCGAUGAAAGCGGAUGAAAGUGGAUUAAUCUUAAAUUCGCGCGGGAAUGAAUCCUAGGCCAUAUUCGUUCAACAACACAUUGAUUUAAUUGCUAUUUUUCAAACUUUAACUAAUUUUUCUUUCUCAAAGUUUGAGUAAGCUGGGAAUAAGAAAUUGUAUAAAAUACUUUUUAAAAACACAAUACAGAACAGAAUUUAAAUUGGAGCAAUCCUUGUGGCCUAAGAUUUCUCUAGUUAAAUUUUAAAGAUUUUUCGUCGAUUUUUCUGACUAAAAAUGCUUAAUGUGAACAGAUUUUUUCAGCACGAAUACUACAUUUUAAAACAAUUUUCCCAUUGACGAUACUCCUUCUUUAAAAUCUACAUCUUUUCAGAUGUACAACCACACAAACCACCCACGACUUCCCGAAUAUGAAUCGCGCCUGUUCAAUGUUCGCAAGAUUCCACGGAACAAAGGAGGAUCUUCGGAAGUUUGUGCGUAUGGAUGAUUUCAGUUGGAAUUACAAGAAGCGAGGUUAGUACCGUGUAUUUGAGCGGCUGUUAGGGUUCGGCAAUCGAAAUUUUGUGCACCAUGGGUGGAUACGGCAAAUUCGUCGAAUUUGCCGUUUGCCAAAUUUGCCGCAGACAUCAAAAAAUUUGACAAUACAAUUUUGACCAAAACUAUUUGAUUUUGUCCCAAAAAGUGUAGUAAAAUGACACAAAAUUGAGUUAUUUUGAUGCCGAAACUAGGUGUCAGAAAGUCUCAUCGUGGUUUGAUCUACAAAAAUGCGGGAAUGUUUUUCCCAGAAAAAUUGUGACGUCGGCACACUCUUAACCAUGCAUUAUCAGAUGGGAUGUCUGCGUCUCUUCUCCCGAAUUUUUCGUAGAUCAUAGCGAAAUGUGACUUUCUGAUGUCUGUUUAGAAAUGUGUCUGUUGAGAAAUCAGUAGUUUUGGUGCUCCAAAAAACAUUGAAAAAGUAUCACAUUUUUUUGGAGUUUCUUGAGCACGGCAAAUUUUGAGAUUUUUUGCCCUUUUUCAUAUUCAAAACGCCUUUAACCUCAUUGUAAAAGUGCCCGAAAACUUCCAGAGUUACAAGGAAUAGGAACAUAUUCUAAAUUAAUUUCAGGCGAAAAAGUAAUCAAGCCAAUGCCAACUCAUAUCCUUAUGGACGAUCGGAGUGUUUUUUAUAUUCUGAACUGUGUGAAUCCGUAUCUCUACUAUUUUAAGAAAUAUG
rnacentral:sRNA from 1 species